UGACCUUGGAAAUCAAGUAUAGGUGGAACCUGUUGGCAUAGUUGUAGGCGACCCAUACUUGGUUUCAAGGGUCA
rnacentral:pre_miRNA from 1 species